AUGGCCAAGGUGGAUGGAGCUGGAGGAGGUGCGUCUCACCUAGAAGAGAACCACUGUCUUGGAUUCUUCCCAUUUCCUGAAUCUAAAUGCCAGAGCACAGAAGAGAGAUCUUGUACUCCUUGUUUGCCUUUGUUGGAUUCAUUUAAGUUGUUCCUGGGCCAAAAACCCAUUUUUCAAUAUUUCCUGUAAAGUUGCCCAGAAGCACUGAGCCCUAGUUAUUUGGAUCAUUUAAAGCAAUUGAUUUUUUUUCUUCAUUAUUUUUCUUGUUCUUUCUCAAUUCUUUCAGAAGACUCCAAAUGAAAACGCAAAGAGAAAAGCAAUUUUUGAAAGAAUUGAACAUCUUCAGUUCCUUUUUCAGAUAAUGGUUUUCUCAUUCCUAGCAAUCUUCUUUAUAUUCUUUAAAUAAAUACAACUAAAAUUUUCUACCA
rnacentral:lncRNA from 1 species